rnacentral:rRNA from 1 species
CCUGUAGCAAUACAGGAGCGGCAGACGGGAGAGUAACACGUGGGAACGUGCCCUUUGGUUCGGAACAACACAGGGAAACUUGUGCUAAUACCGGAUAAGCCCUUACGGGGAAAGAUUUAUCGCCAAAGGAUCGGCCCGCGUCUGAUUAGCUAGUUGGUGAGGUAAUGGCUCACCAAGGCGACGAUCAGUAGCUGGUCUGAGAGGAUGAUCAGCCUCAUUGGGACUGAGACACGGCCCAAACUCCUACGGGAGGCAGCAGUAGGGAAUAUUGGACAAUGGGCGCAAGCCUGAUCCAGCCAUGCCGCGUGAGUGAUGAAGGCCUUAGGGUUGUAAAGCUCUUUCGGCGGGGAAGAUAAUGACGGUACCCGCAUAAGAAGCCCCGGCUAACUUCGUGCCAGCCGCCGCGGUAA